CUAUGCAUUUCUCCACUGUUCGUUCUUUUGAAAAAUGAAGGGCAUGGCUCUUUGAGGGUGCCUUUCAUUUCAGGGUCCCAUGUGAAGCUAUUCUGUCGUAUUUUAAAGCAGUUGCAAUAGCAAUCUAGAAUGUGUUUUAUCAAUGCGUCAAGAGGUGAAUAAUCAACGCUGUAGUUCAGUGAUACUCACCCUUUCUAAGUGGUCUUUGGCGUCUCGCUGGAUGCUUUUUGCAAAAAAUGCGGAUGCAAUUGUUUCGUAGCUAGUUUUCUCAACUGGAAACUGAGAAAUGCUGUUGACAGUCCAUAUUCUAGGAACUUGUCAUUCAGCUUGGGAUUUUCAGCAUUUAUUUUCAUGCAUUACUUCAAGUUAGAAUGUAACUUAAAGGCAUUAAAAAGUUAGAAGAAUAAACCAGGGGAAAACCCGUGUUCUUGCAUCUGUAAUUCUGCAUUCUAAUGUCUUGCUAAAAUGCUCUUUUGUGUAUGUCUGUUUGUGUGUAUGAAAAGAGGGGAGCAUUGAUGAUGUUAGCUGGGAAUUCACAGUCCCUUUGUAAAAUACUGCCUGAGAAUCUCACUUACUCCUUUUGUAUGUUUGCCUAGCUUUCCAAGUUAAACAUUGUUCCACUGAGCUCUUUUUCUCUGCAAUUGUAUUUUAACGUGUGUGUGUGUGUGCACUGUGUGGUAGUUCAGUUAUGCUCUGGAGUGUGUUGAAAAUGCCAGCCUGACAUAUUGCUAAUGAGUGUGCAUAUUGACAGUGACGGGGGCGUGUGUCUGUCUGUGUGCCAUAUAUUAAAACAAAAAGAGGAGAGAGACGGAGACACAGAGAGACAGAGAGACAGAGAAGGAAAUAUUGGGAUGGGAAAGAACAGUUUGUUUACAUUACGUGAGAUGUGAUUGCAGACAGCGCGCGGCCGGGCUGUGGUGGAACUGGCCAGUGGCAACCUGCCUUUGCGGUGCUGGCUCCCGCCGGAGCAGCCGUGCCACGGGGAUGCUGAGCUUGGGAGCAGUGCCUGCCAGGAGCCUUCGCGUGCAGGAAUGCCGGCAGGAGAGCAUGGAGCGUCAGCGAGGUUUAGCUGGUGGAUCAUAUUGUGAAAACUGCAGCCAUGAAAGGCCCUCCAUUUAGUGCACCCUUCAAAACGAAAUGCUAGCAUGGGAGGCUAAGCUGGAGGCUAAUAACGAGGGAGUCAGUGGAGGAGACCAAUGCCACAAGGGUUAUCUCACAGCCCCAGAUGCUGGAUAAGUUGAAGGAGGCAGAAUCGCUUUUGGAUGACAUUCAGGAAGGCCUUGAAUGAUUAUCUGGUGGAGUAAAGACUAUUCUUUUCAAGGUAAACAGUCCAUUUCAUCUGUCUGCUGUUGUUGUUGGUGUAAAAUAUGUUUGUAUAAAUACUUCUAACCUUCAUUUUUAUCAUUUUCCAGGUUUUUUUCCCUAGAUGCUGCAAUGAUCUAUUAAGAAUCCUUUUUGAGACAAAGGAUCCACUCCACCUCCAACCUAAGGAAAUGCUUUGAAGGAAUUGACAAGCUCACUUUUAAUC
rnacentral:lncRNA from 1 species